rnacentral:rRNA from 1 species
UGAGGAAUAUUGCGCAAUGGGCGAAAGCCUGACGCAGCGACGCCGCGUGGAGGAUGAAGGUCUUUGGAUUGUAAACUUCUGUUAAGUGGGAAGAAAAAGUUGCUUCUAAUACAAGCAAAAAAUGACGGUACCACUAAAGAAAGCACCGGCUAACUUCGUGCCAGCAGCCGCGGUAAUACGAAGGGUGCAAGCGUUAUUCGGAUUUAUUGGGUGUAAAGGGUGUGUAGACGGUAUGUUAAGUCCGCUGUUAAAUUUCCCGGCCUAACUGGGAGCCAGCGGUGGAUACUGACGUGCUAGAGGAUGGAAGAGAGAAGUGGAAUUCCCGGAGUAGCGGUAAAAUGCGUAGAUCUCGGGAGGAACACCAAUGGCGAAGGCAGCUUCUUGGUCCAUAUCUGACGUUGAGACACGAAAGCGUGGGGAGCAAACAGG